ACUCGGCUCACUUGAAAUUGUGCCGAAAUGUGCCGACUGUGCGAGAGUGAGCGAACGAAAUAAUGUGUCACAUUUGUCUGGUUGCACUGCAAAACCUGGCAACUGUGAUCGUUUCAUGACGGAUUGUUUUUGUUUAUUUUUGAAACACCGAAACCAUCUACUGCAAUCUAAACAGCAUCAAAGUUAAGUUUUUACUCGACGGAAGCCGCAAAUACAAUUUCUUCACAUAUUGUUGUUGCAGUUCAUCGAAUAUGCGGAAGUCCUUGAGAACAAUCUGGCCCUGUUUGAGCUUCUACCAAUCUUGCCAAUCUACAAUGCCUCCGGCACCGAUGAGCUAAGCAUUGACCUGACGAGGGUACUAUGGAUAUCACCAGACAAGAAGCGAUCGAGACAGCUGAGAGAUCGUUUACGAGAUGGUACGUGACCGUAGCAUGGCGCUGCUAAUGUUUUUUCAGCAAAUCAAUAAUAAAAAUCUGUUGUCUAGCUAUUAAUGGCAUCUUGAA